ensembl:miRNA predicted gene, 26115
GGCGCCCCCGGCCCCGCCCCCCCCCCCGUUCGCUCCCUUCCCGGCGGCGGCGGGGGCGGAGGCGGGGUCCGGGCGCCGGGCUUCGGGGCUC